ACAAUGAAGAGUUUGAUCCUGGCUCAGGAUGAACGCUAGCGGCAGGCCUAACACAUGCAAGUCGAGGGGCAUCACGGAAAAGCUUGCUUUUCUGGUGGCGACCGGCGCACGGGUGCGGAACGCGUAUGGAACCUGCCCCUGUCAGGGGAAUAGCCCAGGGAAACUUGGAUUAAUGCCCCAUGGUACCGUUAUAUCGCAUGAUAUUGCGGUUAAAGAUUUAUCGGACAGGGAUGGCCAUGCGUACCAUUAGUUAGUUGGUGAGGUAACGGCUCACCAAGGCAGCGAUGGUUAGGGGCCCUGAGAGGGGGAUCCCCCAC
rnacentral:rRNA from 1 species